rnacentral:ncRNA from 2 species
CCCCUAUCCAGAGCGCCCGAGAGACCUGGCUCGAGGACGGCGCGGCAACCGGUCCGCAUCCCUCAGGCGGACACGGUGCUCCGGCCAGCAGCGAUAGGAG